CAGCACUGUUCCUGGGAGGGGGUGGCCAAGAGACACCAGGGAUGGAAGACAGUCAGGCUCCAGGAUCCUGGUGGCUGGGCAGGUUUGUGAGAGGCCCAGAGAGAAGUAAGAAUGGGACAUACAGAGUCCUCUUCAAGGACCUGAAGUUUCCUGUUGAAGUGGAGUCCUGUCCCCCCUCCAAUGGUUACAAAGACCUCAAGGACCCCCCCCCCCCCGUAUCUCUUGAAAUCAAGCUUUUUGCCAAGUUGGAGAGACUUACUCUGGAAAAUCUAAAUGUAGACAGGAGCCCAAGAUCCCAAGGCAGAAAGCUUGAAACGCAACCACCAUUUUCUUUGGCUCUGCGGAACAGCCCAGCAAGGUGCCUCUGGAGCCCUGGUGGAUGGGGACCCUAGGCCCAGCGCCAGGCCUGGGCAAGGCCUCGCCAAUACACCUGCCUGGUCCCCGCCUCUCGGCCUCCGUCUCUGCAGCUGGAGGUCUCCACAGAUAAGAUUUCUCACCUUC